rnacentral:sRNA from 1 species
GCGGAGGAAAAGAAACCAACAGGGAUUGCCCCAGUAACGGCGAGUGAAGCGGCAACAGCUCAAAUUUGAAAUCUGGCCCUAGGCCCGAGUUGUAAUUUGCAGAGGAUGCUUUUGGCGCGGUGCCUUCCGAGUUCCCUGGAACGGGACGCCAUAGAGGGUGAGAGCCCCGUACGGUUGGACACCAAGUCUUUGUAAAGCUCCUUCGACGAGUCGAGUAGUUUGGGAAUGCUGCUCAAAAUGGGAGGUAUAUUUCUUCUAAAGCUAAAUAUUGGCCAGAGACCGAUAGCGCACAAGUAGAGUGAUCGAAAGAUGAAAAGCACUUUGAAAAGAGGGUUAAACAGCACGUGAAAUUGUUAAAAGGGAAGCGCUUGUGACCAGACUUGCGUCCGGUGAAUCACCCAGCUCUCGCGGCUGGGGCAUUUUGCCGGCUCAGGCCAGCAUCAGCUUGCCGUCGGGGACAAAAGCUUCGGGAACGUAGCUCUCUUCGGGGAGUGUUAUAGCCCGUUGCAUAAUACCCUUCGGUGGGCUGAGGUACGCGCUCCGCAAGGAUGCUGGCGUAAUGGUCAUCAGCGACCCGUCUUGAAACACGGACCAAGGAGUCAACCUUAUGUGCGAGUGUUUGGGUGUUAAACCCCUACGCGUAAUGAAAGUGAACGCAGGUGAGAGCUUCGGCGCAUCAUCGACCGAUCCUGAUGUUCUCGGAUGGAUUUGAGUAAGAGCAUAUAGGGUUGGACCCGAAAGAAGGUGAACUAUGCGUGUAUAGGGUGAAGCCAGAGGAAACUCUGGUGGAGGCUCGCAGCGGUUCUGACGUGCAAAUCGAUCGUCAAAUAUGCGCAUGGGGGCGAAAGACUAAUCGAACCUUCUAGU